rnacentral:sRNA from 1 species
GCUGGGCACGGUGGCGCGUGCCUGUAAUCCCAGCUACUCAGGAGGCUGAGGCAGGAGAAUUGCCUGAACCCAGGGUGCAGAGGUUGCAGUGAGCCGAGAUUGCGCCAUUGCACUUCAGCCUGGGUAACAAGAGCGAAACUCUGUCUCAA